CAGUCGCCGCGGGAAAACGUAGGGCGCAAGCGUUGUCCGGAAUUAUUGGGCGUAAAGAGCUCGUAGGCGGCCUGUUACGUCUGCUGUGAAAUCCCGGGGCUUAACCCCGGGCGUGCAGUGGAUACGGGCGGGCUAGAGGCAGGCAGGGGAGAACGGAAUUCCCGGUGUAGCGGUGAAAUGCGCAGAUAUCGGGAGGAACACCGGUGGCGAAGGCGGUUCUCUGGGCCUGUUCUGACGCUGAGGAGCGAAAGCGUGGGGAGCAAACAGGAUUAGAUACCCGCGUAGUCCAUGUCUCUUAUAC
rnacentral:rRNA from 1 species